rnacentral:rRNA from 1 species
AGUGAACGCUGGCGGCAGGCCUAACACAUGCAAGUCGAACGGCAGCACAGUGAGGCUUUCCCCUUGCGUGUCGCGUGUCGCACGCGUGUGAGAUACAUGUCAAUCUCCCCUUUUUCGUGGGGUACCGCAUGGAGACUUACGCUCUUACCCCACACGCCCUCCGCGGGUAAACCCAGGACCUCCUCGCCUCUCGCGCUUUUGUAUGCCCCUAUGCCGGAUUAGCUAGUUGGCGGGGUAAAGGCCCCCCAAGGCGACGCUCGAUAGCUGGUCUGAGAGGAUGAUCAGACAAACUGGGACUGAGACACGGUCCAGACUCCUACGGGAGGCAGCAGUAGGGAAUAUUGGACAAUGGGCGCAAGCCUGAUCCAGCCAUGCCGCGUGAGUGAAGAAGGCCCUCGGGUUGUAAAGCUCUUUUGUUGGGGAAGAAAAGCAGCAGGCUAAUACCGCGGUGUUCUGACGGUACCGGAAGAAUAAGCACCGGCUAACUUCGUG